AACCGGCAAAUCAUCCCACAAAGAAGCUGCCCAGACCCCAGGGCGCAGGAAGGGCUCUGGAAACACUGUGAUGUUUCCAGAACUGCCUUACAUACAUUGCCUUUCAUUCUCACAACACCCUAAUGAGAGGGGUGGUAUUAUUGCCCUGGCUUAUAGCUAAAAGUACUGACAUUUAAAGAGGUGAAAUCACUUGCCUAAGGUCACAGAGCUAUAAAUGUACUUGACCCCAUGUUUGCCUAACCACCAACCAGUGCUUUGUCAACCAGGUCUCAAAGUUUAGAUGUAAUUCAGAUUACAUUCCGCAUACACACCCUCUCCUCUCACCUCCUCACAGCACACGCAACACGCAGACCUGCCCGACCUUUACCUUCUCCAAGUAUUAAGAGAAUCUCACUUGAUCCUCAAUGGCUCUGACUUUGGUAGAACCUGGUAGAACUUUUCAAACUCACUUUUGGUCUGUGAAGUAAACUACCUCCACCCUCUGACUCCAUAAUCAAUAUGUUCUCCAAUCAUUACAACAUAAUCAAAAGACAAAGAUGUCAGCCCUGGAGAUUCAUGACCAGCUGGCCACAUUCAAGCUGAGUGGAAGGUCAACCAGUCCAACUUCUCAUGUUUCAGAAGAGGAAAGCAAGGUCUGGAGAGGGAACAUGGCUUGCCCAAGGUCAGAGGUAGAGGGAGAUUAAAACUCUGGGUUUUGACUCUCAAUUCCUUGUUCGGUCCUUGACACCUUAAAACUUAAAGUCAAAGAGCUGCCUUAUCCAUUACAGAUAUGUUUCAAACUUUGAUGAAAAGCAGGGAAGUUUGGGAAGAAAAUCCAAGACUUCUCUGGAGAGAGACCAGGAAACAGGCUCAGAGAGAAGAAGGGAAUUAUGUACCUCGGUUUAGAGCCAAAGUGUCCUGCCUGCAUUCCAGCUGUUUCCAUCCAUGUCCCUGUCAACUGGCAUCUGGAACUACUCGUAGCAGCAUCCACUCAAUAUACCAGCCUGGAAGACAACGGAGCUGUCAUUCUGUUAAAAAAUUAAGAGAAGUACGCAGAACCUGCCUUUUUCUAAAUGAGAAGCUUUGGAAGCGACUGGACACUUUUGGCCAUUGCAGUCCACAGGAAGCAUCUCUGCUGACACCACGACUGAAUGGACACGUGAAUCUAGCACAUACAGUCGGAGGCCCGCAGAACCGGGAUGGUCAUGUAUCCCAGCCUAUGCCAGUUGUCCCAGCAUCAGUGUUACUAGCAUUAUCUUCCACUCUCAAAAGUGUUCCAGUUUGAACCCUAAAUGAUGUGGUCACCUCCACAGAACCGGAGCAGGGAGGGUCUUGGGUGUUCAUCUUUCCCACCAAUCUUAUCUCCUACAAGUGAGAUGGGGGUCCAGGGAGGAUCUGCCCAGGUUUAUGCUUUUGAUUUCCCCCUCCCUCUGCAGCCCUUCCCAUGCCCUCCUGUCUCAGUGAGGGAGGGAGGACCACCCGCGCAUCCUGCACGCCAGGCCCAUAUUGACGCCUGAUGCUUUUGCCUCCAUUCAGAUCUCGUCUUUCUGUGAACCUGAGGCUCAUUUCAAUUAUUCAAGGCAGGACCACAACAAGCUCUGCAUCUGCCUGCACACAAAGCCGAAAUCACAGUGCUUGGGUCGUGGGGACCCUUUUCCCUGAAAAAGAAGAAGUCAGAUCAUUUCUUAAGGUCUCUCCCAGCCUUAGAACCUGUGAUUCAUAAGAAACUGGCUGAAGCUUUUGGUUUGUCAAUAUAC
ensembl:lincRNA